AAUUUUCUAAGCUAAGCAAAGGUAAUUUCCUAUCUAUAGCUCUAUGAUGCAUCCAAACGUGGAGGAUUACUGGGACGGAAUUCAGGGCUGUCACCACCUGCCGCCUACCUCGGACAAAUCCAUGGGAUACACAAAACAAAGGUAUGGGAAACGACCAAACUACCCUCCAACCAUCAUUAGGAAGAGAUCAGGGCCAUCCACAUCGAAUCUCACGAUCAACGGCCACAAAAAGUGUUCGGGCCGAACUCGAGACGGCUCCGUUCGGCCCAUUUUUUAUCGUGGACACUAAUUUUGAGACCCUCAGCCUAUUGGCAUGAUAGUUGGGCCCAUUUGGAGUUGUUUACUUGACUUAUGGGGCCUCCAAUCCGUGUAAAUGUAUCCUGAAUGCGCGGAGGUGCAGUUUGUUGCUUGACGGAUGUGUUUUCUUCUCAAAAUACCUGCAUACACAUAUUUCACCAACACUAGUGGAAAUGAUUAGUAAUAAUACCUACCACUAAGUUGGAUACCAUGUUUUAUUUCAUUAUAUGUAGGUAAUGACGGUCAGAUAUUAUGAUUUAAGAACCGUCAACAGACUUCUAGAUGUUUCGUGCCUAGCCCCAAAGCUCGCCUGUGGAAUAAGUUAGUUGCCUAGGUUCUUUGCCUAGUGCAUAGUCGCUUAGUCGCUUAGUUCUCCGCGCUAUUCGCUAGUCGCUUAGUUCUCCGCGCUGUUCGCUUCUGCGUCGUCGCUUUUAUGGUUUUCUGUAAUGUUGUGUUGCUCAUCUAUGGACCUGUCCAUGGUGGCAACUUAUGUAAGGACUACUACCCAGUGAUGUAAUAAAACAGUUUUCUUUGAUUCCACAGUUA